AUUCAAGGGAUAGGAAUCGAACCCACGACCUUCCGCUUACCGGGCAGAUGCCAUGACCACUAGGCUACCCUGGA